rnacentral:pre_miRNA from 1 species
UAUAAGUACAGUUGUGGAUUUUCAUGUUCAACACCUGUUUUAUUUAAUUUUUUAUAGUUAGCAUUUUAAUUAUUAUUAGAUGAUAAAACAUAUAUAAUACUUUAUGUGUGACUUACUUUUUUAAUUUUUUUAUAAACUUUUUAAAUAGAUCGAGCGGUCAAACAUAGGAUAAAAAACCGACAACUAUACUUAAA